GAUGAACGCUGGCGGCGUGCCUAAUACAUGCAAGUCGAGCGAACAGAUAAGGAGCUUGCUCCUUUGACGUUAGCGGCGGACGGGUGAGUAACACGUGGGUAACCUACCUAUAAGACUGGAAUAACUCCGGGAAACCGGGGCUAAUGCCGGAUAACAUUUAGAACCGCAUGGUUCUAAAGUGAAAGAUGGUUUUGCUAUCACUUAUAGAUGGACCCGCGCCGUAUUAGCUAGUUGGUAAGGUAACGGCUUACCAAGGCAACGAUACGUAGCCGACCUGAGAGGGGGAUCGGCCACACUGGAACUGAGACACGGGCCAGACUCCUACGGGGGGCAGAAGUAGGGAAUCUUCCGCAAUGGGGGAAAGCCUGAGGGAGAAACGCCGGGGGAGGGAUGAAGGUCUUCGGAUCGUAAAACUCUGUUAUUGGGGAAAAAAAAAUGUGUAAGUAACUGGGCACGUCUUGACGGUACCUAAUCAGAAAGCCAGGGCUAACUACGU
rnacentral:rRNA from 1 species